rnacentral:lncRNA from 10 species
AAAAUCCACUACUCCAGACAGACGGCUUUGGAAUCCACCAGCUACAUCCAGCUCCCUGAGGCAGGACUGAGUGGGCGGAGGCUGAAGGUGAAUAAUCUUGUUUGCUGCGGUCACCGGCUUGGAACUCAGCCCUUCCAGGGUCUCUUGUGCAGUAGCUCAUGGCUCUUCUCUGGCUUGUAGUUUCAGGAAAGGGGUAGUAUGGGAGGUGGUGACUGCUCGGUACGUCUAAUAUGAACCAGGUGCCUUCAUCAUUUAUCUCACCUGAGCCACUUAACAGGUUGUGCAGAGACGGAAACAGGUUGAGAGAUGUACAGUCACCUGCUUGCCAGUACACAGCAAUCAAAAGUGGCCAAAAUAAAAUCCCAGUCCAAGUCUGGGAGACUCCAAAGCCCUCUCUGCCUUCUCCCCACUAAGAGGCCCUUCCAGGCUUAUGGUGGACACAGACACCACGUGGCAACCUGGCAGGGGCAGAGAAGAACAUUUGCCUUUCUUUGGUCUUGCUGCCAACCAUUAUCAGGGCCAUCGAGGCUCCAGACACUGUACCAGGGACUUUCAUUUCCCUCUCUCAGUCGACC